UUUGGCAUUGCUGGUAAAGAGUGACAGUAAUAAGCAUGCUCCACUGUCAUGUUACAUGCGAUAAACAAAGUGAACAGGAUUUGCAGGAAGUUUCUGACACCGCCGCGACACAAUACAAACAUUUUGUGCAACUGUACCAAAGGAAAAUUAGACAGCGGCACUCAACUGAUGGCUAAUUCUUUUCGGCGUUGGCUGGUUUAUUUCCCCAUCACCUGAAAAAGCUUCUUUUUUUUUUUUUUUUAAAUGAGCAAUAUUAUUUAGUUAAUCGACAAAUCGACAAAGUGGAUUUCUUUUUACGUACCCAGACAACCCGAAACUAAAGGGUUUUUUUUUUGUUGUUUUUUUUUAAUUCUUAAACUAGUCCCAACACCAAUUUUGUGUUGCAGUUGGAAUUUUCCAUAUGAGCGAAGAAAGCUAACGUGGCUAACAAUGUUUUCAUGAUACAAAAAAAGGCUACGAGAGGCUGUUUUUUUGGGGGGGGCGGCUAAUGUGGCUAAUGAUGUUUUCAUGAUACAAAAAAAAAAAAGGCUAUCAGAGGCUGGUUUUUUUUUUGUUUGUUUUUACAGCUAACGUGGCUAAUAACGUUUUCAUGAUACAAAAAAAAAGGCUAAGAGAGGCUGGUUGUUUUUUGACAGUUUACGUAGCUAAUAAUGUUUUCAUGAUACAAAAAAAGGCUAAGAGAGGCUGGUUGUUUUUUGACAGCUAACGUGGCUAACAAUAUUUUCAUGAUACAAAAAAAAGGCAAAGAGAGGCUGGUUGUUUUUUGACAGCUAACAUGGCUAACAAUGUUUUCAUGAUACAAACAAAAAGGCUAAGAGCGGCUGUUUUUUUUUUUUUGACAGCUAACGUGGCUAACAAUGUUUUCAUGAUAUAAAUAAAAAGGCUAAGAGAGGCUGUUUUUUUUUUGACAGCUAACGUGGCUAACAACGUUUUCAUGCUACAAAAAAAAGGCUAAGAGAGGCUGGUUGUUUUUUUUGACAGCUAACGUGGCUAAUAAUGUUUUAGCGAUACAAAAAAAGGGCUAAGAGGCUGUUCUAAAGUUUUGUUUUUUUUUAAAUUCUUAAACUAGUCUGCCCUUGCUGUCUUUCUUCAUCCCGGAUCCGCUUUUUUUGCUUGUUAACUUUUUUUUUUUUCUUCCCGACCUCCUUCCUCCCUUUCUUUCCUCCUUCCUGCCUUCCUUCCCUUUAUUCAUGGUCCCCUGACGUCCUUCCUUCCGUUGCUUCAAACGACUUUUCAGCCCUCUUUCCUUUCCUCCCGGCCAAAAUAAGAGUUGAUUAAAAAAAAAAAAAACCCUCCACUCUGUCUUAUAAAUGUUGCUUUCACUGAAUACAAAACAACAUUGGCGGCAUUGUAAGUCAUUCAGGCAUCGUUAACUGAGGUUGAACUGCGUGGAUCUUCCACAAGUUACGACAAGCUAAUCGCCGUUUCACCCAAGUGUCAUUCGAAUGAGAUGAAAUAUCACCACGUUAAAAGUAUGCAAAAGAUUUUGACCUCUCUCGCUAUUGUCGAUGCUUGCGUUUCAUUGUGGGGAAGGUGGCGCACAAAAUGCUGACUUAGCUUGAACGUGUUCACUUUGAGUGCACGCACACAAGAGCGGGGCGGAAACAGGCACGAUUUUUUUUUCCCCCCUUGUUGACGUUGUUCGCAAAUAUAUCAAGCAUGGAAAAAAAAAAAAGUGAACAAAAGGAAGAGUUGGAAGGGGCCUACAAGAGCUGGCGUGCUCCGGGUUUCUUCACAACAAACAAUCAAGAACAGGUCAUGCUACUUCCUGGCCAUAAAAAGCUGCGUGCCAUUGAUGAUGCGUUUUAUGUUUGUUUGGACUGGACGCAGUCCAGUACUGCUGGAUGGGGACAAGCGCUUUCAAGAGCGCGUAUAUAUGACACAAGGGGCUCCGGGGGGUGGGGGGAAAGUAAAAGUGUGUGUCUGUGAGCGCUUGUAUGAGCGGAACAAGCAAAGGGGAUGUACGCCGGUGAGGAAAUGACUCGCUCGCAUGGCCACAUGUCCCUGAGUCAGGGUGUCACAAAGUCCCUAGUGGACCUCCUUCUCCCUCUUAAUUAUUCCCUCUUCCUCCUACUCGGCUGAGAACCCCCCACCUCCCCAGCCCCUCGUCUUCUGAGAUAGCGACGCCAAUGUCCGCCUACUUCUGCUUUGAGAGGCAAGGCAAACAUUUACCAAAGAACGGCGUUUGGAGCAAAGUCCCAGCUGUACUGAUAGAGCUGUGUUUGUUUUUAUUUAUCCAGCUGAAGCCCGUUCACACCGCGAUGGCCAAGGCACAUGUGGCACGUCGAGUACAAGUGUGUAUAUUUGCGCAGCGCUCGACUGCCUCGACACAACGGUGGAUGUCUGAGUGAUGGUUCCGACACCAAGUUUGUGUUGCCAUUGGAAUUUUCCAUAUGAGCGAAGAAAGAGAGGCUGUUUGUUUUUUUUGUUUUUUUUUUUUAAAUGGCGGCUAAAGUGGCUAAUAAUGUUUUCGUGAUACAAAAAAGGCUAAGAGAGGCUGGAUUUUUGGGGGGGGGGGGCGGCGGCUAACGUAGCUAAUGUUUUCAUGAUACAAACAAAAAGGCUAAGAGUGGCUGGUUGUUUUUUUGACAGCUAGCGUGGCUAAUAAUGUUUUAGUGAUACAAAAAAGGCUAAGAGAGGCCGUUUUUUUGUUUUGACAGCGAACGUGGCCAAUAAUGUUUUCAUGAUACAAGAAAAGGCGAAGAAAGGCAGUUUUUUUGGUGACGGCUAAUGUGGCUAAUAAUGUUUUUGUGAUACAAAAGAAAGGCUAAGAGAGGCUGCUUUUUUUUUUUUUUUUACAGCUAACGUGGCUAAUAAUGUUUUCAUGAUACAAUUAAAAGGCUAAGAGAGGAUUUUUUUUGGGGGGGAUAGCUAACGUGGCUAAUAAUGUUUUCAUGAUACAAUUAAAAGGCUAAGAGAGGAUUUUUUUUGGGGGGGAUAGCUAACAUGGCUAAUAAUGUUUUCAUGAUACAAAAAGAAAAGUGACAUAGUAGGCCCAAGUGUUCAUCAAAAAUAAAUUCGUAUAAGCCGCUGCCAUUGUGAAAUGUCAAUUGAUUAAAAACCUUCCACAGAUCUGAAACACGUUAAAAAAAUGUCAAUAGUACGCUAACUGAUUCGGUCUAUUAUCUGCUCAUGAAAUGCUACCGUUAGCCAAAAAUGUCGACCGUCAUCGGUCACCUUGUUGCUAUUUGACUUUCGGCUUAAAAACCAGCGUGAGGACGCAUGUCUAACAGCAUCGCAUCAGCCUAAUACGAUGAAUGUCAAGUUCAACGGAAAAUCUUACCUUAUUUUUUUUAGUUACUGGUAAACGGGGACAUCGUCUUAAGUGGUGGUCUAUAAGACCAUGUCGUACAAAUUAAAUGCGGACAACAGACAGACUGAUGAUCCCCCAAUGUCGAGCAUAAAUGAGCCUUGAGACGUACAACUGCUUCUUGUGACUAAGGUGCACUCUUGCUGUCGCUCUUUUUUGGACUAAUUGGACAUCCAGUAUGGUCCGGUGACGAAAAAGCAGUAGAAAAGCUUAAGUCGGCAAUACGGAGCCCGGGCUCUUUUUUUUCAGAUGAGCCCUUUAAGCUUCUCUGUAGGACGAACCUCAUUAACCAGUCCGGUUGCCAGCGGAAAGUCAAGAGCUUCUGUAACGGCGACAACGAAACGAGAUAGCGGUGAUCUCAUCGUGGCUCGUUCCCCUCAUUCCCCCCCCCCCACCCCCCGGUGUUGCCUCGGCAACGAGCGCGCCUGUGUAUCUGCAUGCGUCUUCAUUAGCUCUAGAAUUGCCACUCGAGACACCACCGAGGGAAACUUGCGUGUGUCAUCGCAAGAUUGGGAACACACGGUUUUGAAACACAUUAAAACAUAAAUCACGAUAUUCAAACCGCCCACACUCUCCAUAAGAAGUUUAAAAAGUCCAAAUCAAGAAAGAAUUACAUAAUCAGCCAAUAUAUCUUUCUGCUGUAAAGUUUAAGGAGAAAUAAUUGUCAGAGUCAAAUGAUUUGCAUGUAAUUAACAUUUGUAUUCUUGGAAAUAUUAAAGGACCAAAAAGAAUGUUGGAAAGUGAUUUAAUUAAUAGUGCGAUUAAUCGUCUAUCUGAAUUGGGACGUACCCCCCAAAAAUUUGAAAUUAGCCGGGCACGCUCGUGAGUUCAGUUAACCCUUUCAGGGGCAGCGGUUACUCGAGUGGAUUUUUUUUUCCAUGCCUAAAAAGGAAUAAAAACACUUGAGUAAAACACUCCUGAGGUAGGUUCUCAUUAAUUGUGCGCAGAAGGCUUCAUUUACACAAAACAGACUCAUGACAGACCAGACCAGAACUGGAAAAUCGAGAACACAACCUGUGGCCAAAAUCCCCAUUUUUUUUUUUUUUUUUUUUUACAUUUGCAUUUAUUUUGCAUGCUACUAAAUUCGAGUGCAUGGUAGCAAGUCGUGCCAUCGUUUGGCUCAUGAAAGCAAGCAACUGUCAUGGAAGUGAUUCGGAAUGACUUUGCUAUUGACCCAUUCCGACCCUCUCUUUCAUAGCCACGGUUAGACGAGUUAUGUGACGUCCCAGAAUAGGUACGGUGGCCCCGCUCUGAACUCUAGCCUAGUAUCGGUUUCCUCUUCUGUUUGUCUUUCUACCCCCCCCCCCCCCCCAUUGUACAUCUUUGCGGCAACGCUCCCCUUCGUUAUUUUUCUUUCCGUCCAUCUUUCCCACAUUGACUUCAUAAGCCUACCGGUUGCGCUCUUGAACCUUCCCGCUGGAAGUUUCCUGUGCUGAAACGAAGCUCGAGCUGGAUUACUUCCUGUCGAAACGCGUUGUGGGACAGGUUGUAUUUUUUUUGGGGGGGGACCCUCCCCCUUUCGCCUUUUUCCUUCUCUCCCCUCGCCUGCGUGUUCUGCUCGUACUUCCUCCUUUGGGCUCGACACAGAUGGCCGAGAGCAACAUACCGGAUCUAAGAGGGCUUUUUUGGCAGAGCGGAAAGCGCCGCUCGCUCUUUGGGCCCUCUGGAGUGAGCAUGCCGGCGGCCCUGACCCCGUGACCCGCUGCCGCCUACCGGGCUUUGCUACCCAAACAAGUCACCGUGAGAGACUCAUCCGCAGCUCACUCGGGCAGUGGGGUUUAACAAGUUUGAAAGAAAA